GACGAACGCUGGCGGCGUGCUUAACACAUGCAAGUCGAACGGUGAAGCGCCUUCCUUUUUGGUGGGUGUGGAUGAGUGGCGAACGGGUGAGUAACACGUGAGUAACCCGCCCCCUUCUUCUGGAUAACCGCAUGAAAGUGUGGCUAAUACGGGAUAUUCUGGGUCUGUCGCAUGAUGGGUCUGGGAAAGAUAUUGUUUCGGUGGGGGAUGGGCUCGCGGCCUAUCAGCUUGUUGGUGGGGUGAUGGCCUACCAAGGCGGUGACGGGUAGCCGGCCUGAGAGGGUGGACGGUCACACUGGGACUGAGACACGGCCCAGACUCCUACGGGAGGCAGCAGUGGGGAAUAUUGCACAAUGGGCGCAAGCCUGAUGCAGCGACGCCGCGUGAGGGAUGGAGGCCUUCGGGUUGUGAACCUCUUUCGCCAGUGAAGCAGGCCUGCCUCGUUUGUGGGUGGGUUGACGGUAGCUGGAGAGGAAGCGCCGGCUAACUACGUG
rnacentral:rRNA from 1 species